rnacentral:lncRNA from 1 species
GUUUCUUGUCACAUUUUAACUGCUGGAAUGUUCAGUUGUAUCUUUUGUUCCUUGAUUUACAGCCUAAUUUACUUGCCAUAAAAACGCAUGUGCUCAUGCAUUUAUCCACUUCGCCAAGAGCCUUGGAGCCAUUUGUCUGAGCAUAUUCCGUUUCUUCUUUGUAAUUCAAAAAGCCCUUGGAUAAACUAAGGGACACUUCAGUCCUCAGGUUCCAGUAUGAUUUCUGCUUCAUCACUUACCAUUUGCAACAUACAAUCAGCUUAUUAUCAGGUCAUCUGAUGUAAAUUGGCUUAGCUUGGUCUCUCUUAGGUUCUGCUGGACUAGCAAAAUGGAAAAUUGAUGAUCUUCUAGUGCAUCUAAUUCAUGAUGCAGCUAAUCAGUCAAUUUCAGAUAGUUAUUAAGCAUAUACAGCAAAGAAGAAAGGAGAUAAAAUCCGCCACACAAAAUGUCCCAGGAUUUGGGAUUCUACUUUCUCUUUAAUUUCCAAAUAACCACAAUUUACUUCCACCUGCCCAGUAACUGAUUCGAGUCCAGUACCCUCCUCAAGUGCUUUGGACUAUCUCUAUAAAACAAUUUGCAUUGCCCUAGUUGUUUUUUGCCUCUUGUGACAAACUUCUACUUCCAACUUUUUCUUUCAUCAUUCUUGGCCAUCUCAUAAUUGCCACAACAAAAUUCUAUUUUUCACCUAACUCAUUUUCCACAAAGCUUUUAAUUCUUCAAGCAUCACUAACACUUGAUUGCCAC